UGAACGCUGGCGGCGUGCCUAACACAUGCAAGUCGAGCGGUAACAGGUGUAGCAAUACAUGCUGACGAGCGGCGGACGGGUGAGUAACGCUUGGGAAUCUGCCUAUUAGUGGGGGACGAACCCGGGGAAACGUCGGGCGUAAUACCGCAUACGCUCUACGGAGGAAAGCCGGGGACCGCAAGGCCUGGCGCUAAUAGAUGAGCCCAAGUCGGAUUAGCUAGUUGGUAGGGUAAUGGCCUACCAAGGCGACGAUCCGUAACUGGUCUGAGAGGACGACCAGUCACACCGGAACUGAGACACGGUCCGGACUCCUACGGGA
rnacentral:rRNA from 1 species